GAAGCCUCGCCUGCUGUUGUCCCGGGAGCGCACGUGCGCUGCGGUGGGGCGCCGAGGGGCGUUCGGCGGGUGCCCCUAGGGGACUGGGGGACAGGGAACGCGAAGUGGGUAGAGACGCUGCCUGAGAGGUCCCGACGUAGGCUGUUGCCUCGGCCCCGGCAUUGUGCUGCGGUGCAAAAAUAAAAAACCGGCCGCCGCCGCAGCAGCAGCAGUAGCACCGGGAAGAGGCAUCCUCCGAGACUACGGCAGUGGCUCCUCUCUACUCCCAGCUGACCCCCAGAACACUGUCACCGCGCCGCGGAGGAGAGGGGGCUUUGCCUCAAGUCAGGAAGAUCCUCGCCUCUCCAUCCCUUGCACAUUUGGGUCUAGAAUGGACGCGCCCCGGUUAUUAUUUGGAAUCCGGGGGCCUAAAAGUUCCUUCAGUUGGCUUCUUCAUUCAGAGUUAUGGACCAGAAAAUUGAAAGUGGCAUGGCAGGGGAGAGAAAGGACAAGAAAGGGUGAAAGAGUGGCCAAACUGAAGGUGCGUGGCUAGACUGAAAAGAGGUUUUGGAGACAAGGGAAGGAGCUCCCUGGGAACCCCCUGCCUGUGGAUGGCACUGCCCUUGGUGCUUCCCCUGUUCCUUUUGUUCAGCCCCCAAAGGCGGUGCAGCACUUCCACCUGCAACGACCAUCUGUGUCACAGAAUACAGGAAAGAUAUCUUGACAUUCUACCGCGUUCUAUUUUCAUUUUUUUCUUUCAAGCGUGUACCUUUCACUUCUGACUCAGUUUGGUAUCUAAAUAAAUGUUGGGGGUGAUUAACCUACAGAAUUCACUCUUAUUCUCAAGUCUACCGAUGCCAAAUACUGCAUCAUCUAAUGUCACUGCAGUAAUUUGGGUCCACUCAGCAUUUAGUCAUUUCAGUGGGAGUCACUGAAUAUAAAACGUGGCCUUGACCGCGAUUAGCAGAAUGUCAAGGGCAUACGUGAAGCAGGAUUUCACCACAUCCUGGAGAGAAAUUAGAGAGUGAACAUGCACAAUAAUCCCACUCUUCCAGCUUCAGUGUAAUCAAAGUUGCUUUAAAGAACAAGUACUAGGGAAGGGAUGGAAUGAGAAGAUUUGCCUAGAAGCACAAACUAGGAUGGGAAAAUUUGAAAGAAGCCAACUUGAAAUAAAUGCAUGGCAGCCCUCUGCUGGAAAUAGUCAGGUGCACCUGAGAUUCAUAAGGGUCUUCAUGGAUACCUCCUAAGUGCUACAGAAACAGCAAGGUAAAGAACAAAAACUAGAGACCUUCGACUUCAGCAUAAUAAGGCCAUAGUUUAAAACUCUUCUUUCACCAAACUGCAGCAAUUCCCUGGGGUUCAUCUUUGGGCCACAGAGAGCCAUCUCUGCCAGAGAGGGACAGGUAUGGAUUAGGUAGCUUUUGUUGUUCUAGGGGUUUGUUGAGCAUUAAACACAAACAUCCUGUGAUAGCAAGAGGAAGUCGUGUGGGACAGAAAACCAAGUCACUAUGAGAAGCAAGUUUUGCCCAAGGCCCCAGUCUCUUGGCUACUCGAUGACAAUAUGCAUUCUUUUCAGAAAUCCUUCACAUCCCACAGUUUCACCACCGCACCCUGAAAGUCAGCCACAGCAGCUGAAUGGAUGUUAAAUGGUUUAUGGUUAAGUGGUGGAGGUACAUAAUAUAUAAAAGAGCUAGGAUUAUGCAUACAUUGGAUGACACAGAUAUUUUACUUUAGAGCCUCUAAACAUUUUGGUAACUUUCUCUCCUUAUAUGUAGUAUAUCUAGUUUAUAGAAGAGAACAAAGGGAUGCCAUGUGUGUUUUCCAAAGAUUAGAGGUGUUUGAGCAAGUUCAAGGGUGCUGGUGAUGCUCCUUAACCUCAUUCUGAGCCAGCACUCCCUCUCCUUGGGCCACACUGUCCAAAUGUCCUGUGUCCUAGUUAUUAUUGCCAAACCUGCAUAUGAACUGGAAGUUGUGAUUGCUGGGUAACUCUGCAGCCAUCUGCCCUUGGCGUUUCAGAUGUUUGUAAUCAAUUACCUCUGUCCUAAUAACACCCUUAAUGAUUAAAUACAUAAAUCACAAAAAAUUGCAACAUUCCUUAUACAAGAAAAAGUCUGUCCAAUGUUAAAUAACUGAAUGUGUAGCUUAUGUAUGGUUUGAUUCAAUAUGUACAAGGUGAGGGGUAGGAGGGGAGGGGAAAAAACAAAUUCCCCCUCUUGCCGAAGCUAUUGGAGACCUCAGGCUGGCCUCCUUUCUCAGUCUUGGCACUGCUGUCUGCCAGGAGGUAGCAUCUGGGUUCACUCCUGGCAUCUCAGAUCUGUUGCAUUGCAGUCCCCUCUAGACGCUGAAGCAGCGUCACGGUGCAGACAAGUAGGGCCAGUGACGAGGGCAGCCACACAGAGGACUGCAAUACGUACCUAACCUUGAGUUUGAAAGAUGGCCUGGGAAUUGAGCAAGGGAGAGAGAAGAAGCUUAUUUGCAUCCCCAAAUUGAGAAUGCUCAACAGCUGUAUUGAGAAAAGUUGCUGAAAGUAGGCCAGGUUUCAUAGAGAAUUUUAACACAGAAUUUUCCCAAAGCGACAAUUGACAUUGUCUUGCUUAUUUAUUCUUUCCUGGCCAAAGCGCCAGCUGCAUAUUGUGUCCCUAUUAAAAAGAGAUGU
rnacentral:lncRNA from 1 species